GUAUAAAAAAGGGGAAUGGGAUAAAAAAGAAAGAAAAACAAAAACAAAAAAGAUGAAGAAGGAAAUAGCAGUAGUGAUGAUAAUGGGAUUACUAUUGGCUCAUCUUCACAUGGUUCACCCUUCUGCCGCUGAUUGCAAUGAUGCUUGCUCCACUGCUUGUGUCCAACCCAACUUAAGGCUCCAGCAACGCUGUGAGAUCAAGUGUGGUAUUAGGUGCAGUUCAGGUUCUCCACUUCUAAAACAUACUCUAAUCGGAGCUUAAAUGGAUCUAUAUCUAUGCAUUAUCUUAUUCAAUGUAACCUACUCCUACUUUUCAUGAAAUAAAGAUAAGAUAUGAAUGUUUGGUUUUGCUA